GGGCGUGUGGUCUAGUGGUAUGAUUCUCGCUUUGGGUGCGAGAGGUCCUGGGUUCAAUUCCCAGCUCGCCCC
rnacentral:tRNA from 3 species